rnacentral:rRNA from 1 species
AUGGCGACGUUCGCGGUGUCCGGCGCGACUCUCGGUGUGGCGCGGGCCGGCGUCGGAGUGGCGCGGGCCGGCUCGGAGCGGAGGGGCGGGGCGGACUUGCCGUCGCUGCUCCUCAGGAAGAAGGACUCCUCUCGCGCCGUCCUGAGCCGCGCGGCCUCUCCAGGGAAGGUCCUGGUGCCUGACGGCGAGAGCGACGACUUGGCAAGUCCGGCGCAACCUGAAGAAUUACAGGUACACACACUCGUGCCGAUACCUGAAGAUAUCGAGGAGCAAACGGCGGAAGUGAACAUGACAGGGGGGACUGCAGAGAAACUUCAAUCUUCAGAACCGACUCAGGGCAUUGUGGAAACAAUCACUGAUGGUGUAACCAAAGGAGUUAAGGAACUAGUCGUGGGGGAGAAACCGCGAGUUGUCCCAAAACCAGGAGAUGGGCAGAAAAUAUACGAGAUUGACCCAACACUGAAAGAUUUUCGGAGCCAUCUUGACUACCGAUACAGCGAAUACAAGAGAAUUCGUGCUGCUAUUGACCAACAUGAAGGUGGAUUGGAAGCAUUUUCUCGUGGUUAUGAAAAGCUUGGAUUUACCCGCAGUGCUGAAGGUAUCACUUACCGAGAAUGGGCUCCUGGAGCGCAUUCUGCAGCAUUAGUAGGUGACUUCAACAAUUGGAAUCCAAAUGCAGAUGCUAUGACCAGAGAUGAUUAUGGUGUUUGGGAGAUUUUCCUCCCUAACAACGCUGAUGGAUCCUCAGCUAUUCCUCAUGGCUCACGUGUAAAGAUACGGAUGGAUACUCCAUCCGGUGUGAAGGAUUCAAUUUCUGCUUGGAUCAAGUUCUCUGUGCAGGCUCCAGGUGAAAUACCUUUCAAUGGCAUAUAUUAUGAUCCACCUGAAGAGGAGAAGUAUGUCUUCCAACAUCCUCAACCUAAACGACCAGAGUCACUAAGGAUUUAUGAAUCACACAUUGGAAUGAGCAGCCCGGAACCGAAGAUAAAUUCAUAUGCUAAUUUUAGGGAUGAGGUGUUGCCAAGAAUUAAAAGGCUUGGAUACAAUGCAGUGCAGAUAAUGGCAAUCCAGGAGCAUUCAUACUAUGCAAGCUUUGGGUACCAUGUUACUAAUUUUUUUGCACCAAGUAGCCGUUUUGGAACUCCAGAGGACUUAAAAUCCUUGAUCGAUAGAGCACAUGAGCUUGGUUUGCUUGUUCUUAUGGAUAUUGUUCAUAGUCAUUCGUCAAAUAAUACCCUUGACGGUUUGAAUGGUUUCGAUGGCACUGAUACACAUUACUUCCACGGUGGUCCACGCGGCCAUCAUUGGAUGUGGGAUUCUCGUCUAUUCAACUAUGGGAGUUGGGAAGUAUUGAGAUUCUUACUGUCAAACGCGAGAUGGUGGCUUGAAGAAUAUAAGUUUGAUGGAUUUCGAUUUGAUGGGGUGACCUCCAUGAUGUAUACUCACCAUGGAUUACAAAUGACAUUUACUGGGAACUAUGGCGAAUAUUUUGGAUUUGCUACUGAUGUUGAUGCGGUAGUUUACUUGAUGCUGGUCAACGAUCUAAUUCAUGGACUUUAUCCUGAUGCUGUAUCCAUUGGUGAAGAUGUCAGUGGAAUGCCUACAUUUUGCAUCCCUGUUCCAGAUGGUGGUGUUGGUUUUGACUACCGCCUGCAUAUGGCUGUAGCAGAUAAAUGGAUUGAACUCCUCAAGCAAAGUGACGAAUCUUGGAAAAUGGGCGAUAUUGUGCACACCCUAACAAAUAGAAGGUGGCUUGAGAAGUGUGUAACUUAUGCAGAAAGUCAUGAUCAAGCACUAGUUGGUGACAAGACUAUUGCAUUCUGGUUGAUGGAUAAGGAUAUGUAUGAUUUCAUGGCUCUGGAUAGGCCUUCAACUCCUCGCAUUGAUCGUGGCAUAGCAUUACAUAAAAUGAUCAGGCUUGUCACCAUGGGUUUAGGUGGUGAAGGCUAUCUUAACUUCAUGGGAAAUGAGUUUGGGCAUCCUGAAUGGAUAGAUUUUCCAAGAGGCCCACAAACUCUUCCAACCGGCAAAGUUCUCCCUGGAAAUAACAAUAGUUAUGAUAAAUGCCGCCGUAGAUUUGAUCUUGGAGAUGCAGAUUUUCUUAGAUAUCGUGGUAUGCAAGAGUUCGAUCAGGCAAUGCAGCAUCUUGAGGAAAAAUAUGGGUUUAUGACAUCUGAGCACCAGUAUGUUUCACGGAAACAUGAGGAAGAUAAGGUGAUCAUCUUCGAAAGAGGAGAUUUGGUAUUUGUUUUCAACUUCCACUGGAGCAAUAGCUUUUUUGACUACCGUGUUGGGUGUUCCAAGCCUGGGAAGUACAAGGUGGCCUUGGACUCCGACGAUGCACUCUUUGGUGGAUUCAGCAGGCUUGAUCAUGAUGUCGACUACUUCACAACCGAACAUCCGCAUGACAACAGGCCGCGCUCUUUCUCGGUGUACACUCCGAGCAGAACUGCGGUCGUGUAUGCCCUUACAGAGUAA